CUCCGAGUCCCCCAAUCAGGGCGCCCAGAGGAACACAUGGUCCGCGGGGCUCCUCGAUACUCUCGCGUGCCGCACGCCCCAUUUCAAAUAAACACCCGACUCCACUUGGCGCUGCGAGACCCGCCAUCUGCCCAAACAGCGCAAGGCGGAAAAUAAAUGCCGCGCUCCUGAACAAAUAAACCUUCGCGCCAUUCAGAACGCGCGGGACUGAAGCGCGGGAUAAAAUACGAUUUAUCCUCGCGAAGUGUAAACACGGCGACAGGGCUCUGAAUAUACGAGGAGACCCGUGCAGUGAGUCUGCGCAUCAACCUUACAUCCAGCAGAGGGCGAUACAGCACCAAGAUGCAACUGGACCAGACAGCCUCCAAAAGAGGGUCUGAGGCCUUUUUCCAAAUCUCUGAUUUAAGCCACCUCAUGUACGCUGUGUGCUCCUGGCCUCACCUUGUGUUUUAGGUUAACCAUGAAACUUCAUGAAUUUGAGAAAUAUGAAGAGAAUAAGAUGAUUGGCUGUCUUUGUGUUCCGUCAUGCAAGAGGCAGGACUGUCACGGAAAUCUCUCCUUAUAGGGAUAUAAUUGAGGUGGGCAGGACGGCAUGUGUGGGCGUGAUAGGGCGAAUGUUUUAGGGAAAGCAAGAUUGACAGGAGUGACAGCUCCAUUUAUUGGCUGCUAGAGUCUAGUCAGCAAAAGGGCAUUCAGGGCCACCGGCUGGCUCUGCUGGCGGCCUGUGCAGUCGGCGCCUGUAAUGAAUGAAGCCCUGGAGUCAUAGUAAACAGCAUCUCUAGUACUUCAGGAAUUUUAUCCAACAUGGAGGAUGAAGAGAUUUCUCCUGGUCUUCACAUUUGGCCUCUGCCGACAGGAGCGUCAUGGUGGAUCCAGCAGGUUAACUGAGUCGUUUUGUUCACAUAAGUUAGAACAAAGUUCUCAAAGGGUCUGAACUGAAAUGACUUGGGCCACCAGGAUCAAUGUAGUGUAGCUCUCAUACUUGUCUAAUCACUGUCAUAAGAGAAGGUGCCAGUUCUCUUGCAUCCAGCAUGUAAUGCAUAUUGCUUAUUUUUGGUAACAAAGUAAUUCUGCACUCGGUGUCAUUUGUUUCUCCUGACAGCGAGUCUUUGUGUGCUAGUUUGUUAGUUAGUCAAGAACUCACAUAGACCCCGUUUACUUUUGGUACUGAGAUCCAUUUCCACAGCACUAAAUACAGAUGUAAAUAGGAUGUUGAACACUUUGAGAACCUAUAGAUUAAAUUUUAAAUGCAUGUGACCAAAUCACAUUCGUGAUAUUAGCUAUACUAUUUAAUUUGCCCUGACCUUUCAGGCAUCAUACACUCUUAAAACAAGGGUUUUAAAAGAAAUGAACCUUAACCUUACUUAAUACAGGUAAACUGAGAAUAAUUGAGAAUUAACUGAUUUGAUCAGCAUUUUACUAGCAGGAAGGACAUGAUCUGUCUUGUCUGAGCCCUUGUGAUAGGCUCAAACGAGACAUCAUUUAAACUGACCCAUAUAUUCACAGUGCAUAUAAGACAGACAGUACUGGUGCACCUGACACUAUUUGAUUGACCUUUUGUGAUCCCCAGCCUGCUUUAAUGAGUUACAGGAUCCACUUUGUUCCAGCACAGAGCUGCUUCCCUCCUCUCAUCCCUGCAGAGGCCUCUCUUUUACAACCUCAGGUGCUUCUGGAUACACUUAGUGCUCACUGUACAUCACCUGGGAAUGCACGGGGUCAACCCUUUCCUGACCUCCCACUGGUAUCUGUGCUCACGCAGCCACACAAAGAAAGAACAAGAAAAACAAAGUGCCCUAUAAAGUCUCUCUUAUAAUGUGGGAGAAGUCAUUUCACAUCUUCAGGUUUUUCUAGUUUUGUUUUUGUUUUAUUUUAGACUACAUAUUUUUUUAGACA